rnacentral:tRNA from 1 species
GAGGGUACAGCUCAAUGGUAGAGCGUGUAUCUAGCAUGCUCGAGGUACUGGGUUCCAUCCCCAGUACCACCA